CAGAAUUAAAACACUGCUCAAAAGAGACUCUAGAUGCUCGAAGCUUAAUUGAUACCAGGAAACAUCUACAUAAAUGCAUAUGUAAAAGGACAAUCCUUUGUAAACAGGGUACAUCUUCCCGCUCCAGAUUCGGCAAAUACUCGUGCCACCCUGUUCCCGUUGUCAUCUCUGCCAGCACUGGCGCUAACAGACAGGUUGCUUAGGAUUAAGGCUAGUCAAAAGUUAUGUAAGCCAGCUAAAAACUUUAUUGGAAUAAAUGUCACAUGACCGGCCGCAGCAUAUUCAGACGUA
rnacentral:sRNA from 1 species